rnacentral:lncRNA from 1 species
AGUCCCCAGCCUGCUCUUUCAUUGGAUAUCUGUGAUCUGUGCCUGAGUGCAUUUUUUCAUCCGUCAUUCAGUCAGAGACUGUGGGUCAGACCUGGCAUAGCGUCUGGGGUCUCACUCUGUUGCCCAGGCUGGAGUGCGGUGGCACAAUAACUCACUGCAGCCUUGAACUCCAAGGCUCAAGUGAUCUUCCCAUCUCAGUCUCCCAAAGUGCUGGGAUUACAGAUGUGAGGCACUGUGCCCAGCAUUAGUAUUUUAAUGUUGUUGUUAUAUUGCCAAACACAGCUAAUGGGAAUUGUUUGAUAUAAAGAAAAAAAAGUGGGA